rnacentral:rRNA from 1 species
UACGUAGGGUGCGAGCGUUAAUCGGAAUUACUGGGCGUAAAGCGUGCGCAGGCGGUUUUGUAAGCCGGAUGUGAAAUCCCCGGGCUUAACCUGGGAAUGGCAUUCGGGACUGCAAGGCUGGAGUGCGGCAGAGGAGACUGGAAUUCCUGGUGUAGCAGUGAAAUGCGUAGAUAUCAGGAGGAACACCGAUGGCGAAGGCAGGUCUCUGGGCUGACACUGACGCUGAGACGCGAAAGCGUGGGGAGCAAACAGG